rnacentral:misc_RNA from 1 species
AACCUUAUGGACCUGCGGGCGUAUACCUGCGGAAGGAUCAUUAUCAAAAGUCGGUCGGGAGCCCUUGUGGCUGCCGUCUACACCCAAGUCUUUUGUGUACUCUUUGUUUCCUCGGCGGCGUAAGUCGCCGAAUGGACAAACCGAAACCUUUUUGUAAUUGCAAUCAGCGUCAUUAAAUAUAAUAAUAUUUACAACUUUUAACAAUGGAUCU